rnacentral:rRNA from 1 species
CAGCAGCCACGGGAAUACGAAGGGUGCAAGCGUUAAUCGGAAUUACUGGGCGUAAAGCGUGCGUAGGCGGUGAGUUAAGUCUGCUGUGAAAUCCCCGGGCUCAACCUGGGAAUGGCAGUGGAUACUGGCUCGCUAGAGUGUGUCAGAGGAUGGUGGAAUUCCCGGUGUAGCGGUGAAAUGCGUAGAGAUCGGGAGGAACAUCAGUGGCGAAGGCGGCCAUCUGGGACAACACUGACGCUGAGGCACGAAAGCGUGUGGAGCAAACAGGAUUAGAUACCCCCGUAGUCCCUGUCUCUUAUAC